rnacentral:misc_RNA from 1 species
UUCUGUUUCGUAGUCACGGAUGAUAAGAGAACAGGGCAGAUCAAGAGUAGGCCCAGGAAUUCAGAGAAGGAAGUGGAAUAGCAUCAAUAAUGAUGAUAUGAUUAACAAUUUUUGCCUACUUGCUUCGCCUCUUCUCUCUGCUGGUCCUAUGUCAGUGUUAAGUCGGCCAGUACUACUAGAUUAAUAUUCAACACACUUAUUUUCCACAUUCAUGCCUAUAAUUUUUCCACUCCUUGCAGCUUCCUUGAAAUUAUAAUGGUAUAUAACAGGAAUUCCCAGCUAAGGUAUGAAAAAUAUGUGACCCUUUACUCUUCUAGAGGAUUAUCCUUGUUUGAGUAGCCCACCUAUGAACAAACACAUGGAAAUGUUAGAGAUAUGAAGUUCAACCAGUUUCCCAUGAAACAGGAAUACAAACAAGACUCUACAAUCAUUUCAUCAUUCCAAGUUGUUAUAUUGGCACGUGAUAUUGCACUAUCAUACUGUUCACAGGCAGAUACUUCUACCUUUUUAAAUUAAACCUGACAGCUUGAGUGUGCGGACAUUUUAUAACAACCAAACAUGCAACUUCAAUUUCAGUCAUUAUAUUCAUACUGUUCUAUGGAACAAUGUACUGGAAAUUAACUUCAAGGGUAAAGGGUGGUACGUGCACGGACCUACUUGAGAUGAUUCUGUGUGCUUCUAUCUCUCAAUUUGUAAGCCAUUUUAAUCAAAUCAGACUGGUGCAGAUUAGCACAGAGCUUUCCUUUUGUUGUGAUUUUAUAUUCUGAAGACUGCUGAAGCUCAAUCUUUCCUGGCACAAAAACAAAAGAACAAAAUUCUUGAUAAAAGAAAACGAUAAAAUUCCUGUUCUUGCUAAAAGUUAACUUGAAUUUAACUUUCUAUGUUAGCCAAUGACUUUCUUUGUAAUGCUAUAACACAUUUCACACAGAAAACACAAACACAUAUCAAUGAUGAAUAGAAAAGAGAGAAACUUGUAACUAAAAAAUAGAAAACAGGACCUAUAAAACCAGUGGGAAGAGAUGCAAUAGAGAGCUAUGCAAUCUCAAUAUGGCCAAUUUUGCUAUCUUAAAUCAGUGAGCAAGUUGAUAAUGGCAAUCAUUUAAGAAAGUUUAUUCUUAGCCAUACCUAAACCUCCCUUGCAUUAGAUCAUAGGGUGUACAACUGUACAUAGUAGACCUAGAAAAAGAUAUCACCUUGUUCAAUACCUUGCUUAAUGGGCAUUUGGGAAUCAUUAUGGUAGUCACAUGUCACAUCUUAUAUGCUGAAGCACACUGUGCAACAUCCCUGAAAAAAUUUUUCACCUUGGGCAGAAACAUUACCACAAUCAACAGUUCAUAUCUAUAGUGCAAGUGGCAGCUUUAAUUCAACUUACUAAGUUCUCUCUCCACAUUUGCAAGGGAAGGGAUGGUGGAUCAUCUUCCUUUCAGGCAUAGGCUCAUGCCAGGUUCAAAGUACAUCGGCGAAAACCCCAAAUUUCUGCAUUGUUUAUAGUAUUUCAGGAAGAAUUUAGAGGCAAAUUCAUUGAUUGCACUCAAUACUUGAACUUGCACCAACAAGGUUGCAGCACCCAGACUUUUACCACCAAGCAACAGUCCCAUCAACGAUACCUGUACACACGUCAAUUUUGGCGACAGAGAAACAAAGAGAGAAAUUAAAAAUAAGAAAGUUGGCCAAUUGUGACAAAAAUGAGAUGAUAAUGACAGGUCCUUAAGCCAUCAAUUACGACAUCCUACCACAUAUAUAGAACUGUCAACUGGCCUCAUCCAAGUCAGGCACCAGCCUCUUCAACUUGCCCAUCUUACCAGAAUACUAGCAUCUUUUAGAAUGGUCAACGAAUAAGGUAUCUAUUCAGCCCUAUUUUCUAUAUUUCCAUUCUGCUUCUAAUUUAUGGAAAUAUCAUAUAAUACAAAUCAAUACGCAUGCCUAUCUAUGAUCUCAUCAAACCGGUGUCCUAGAAAGGGUAAUUUGGAGAUAAUCCAUCUCUUUAACACUGAUGUAAGGAGAAUAAAACAAUUAUAAUCAAUUUAAGUAUUUUGAGAAUAAUUUACAGACAAGUCAGUUACAACACUUACUUGAACUUGCACCAUAAGGAUGCAACACCCAGACUUUUACCAUAGCACAAUAACAGUCCCAUCAAGGAUAUCUACACAGAAAUCAAUUUGAGAGAGAGAGUAGGUAGCAUGCAUCACAAUACUAUUUAUAAAGAAACUUAUAUGAUAGUGAAUACAUUAUACAGUUACUAUAAGUACACAAACAAGCAUUGAAUUACUCAGCAUUCACAUGCAUAUACAGUAAAAUGUCACUAUUCAUUUAUUGUAACUUCAAUUCUCUUUUAAAUUUCAGAUGUUUAUACAAACCCACGUCAUUAGAUUCUUCUUUCUGUCUUAAGCUUGAAUCCAUAACCAAUUAGAUAACAAGAUACAGAGGUGAAUUAAGUUACUUCUUACCCAAUCACUUCUAUUUAUCUUUUCUGCUAAGUUGAUGUCUUAUUUUAAUAAAAGGAACUAAAUCAUUCAUCCCAAUCUGCUAAUUGUGUUCACUCUAAUCACAAUCAUUAGAUUCCGUGGUUUGACAUGCACAAUAAACACCAUGUGAUCAACCAGUCUCCAAGCUGUCUUAUUGAUAAGCUCAGAAUCACUUAUUCACUAUGUAGCCCAUCAUCAUGUUAAAAUAUAGUCAUAAUUUUUUUUUUUAUCCUUUUCCAUGUAAAUGACAAAUGAUUUCAUUCACUAUCAUAUUACGAGACGCUCUACCAAAUAUCAAAUUGACAACCAUUAUCUGUCUUCUCUCCUUUUACAAACAGUUAUGAACCCCUUUUAAGGGCAAAAGGUUAUUCCUCAUCAUUUUAUGACAAGAGCGUCCCUAAAUUGUUUCUAGAAAGAAAGCAUUUACCCUUUAAUUGCAAAGAAUCUUUGGAUCCUUCAACAAAGAAUUUUCUGUGCUUUAACAAGGCAUAUCAACACAUAAAAAUCUCCAUCGCAGAAUGUAUCAAGAUAUAAAAGACAAGGUAUUAAAGCAUGUUGCAAACAUUACAACUUUAGUCUAAUGAUGCCAUGCAGAUGUAAACUUUGAAGACAGAUCCACCAGAAGAUUAAGUAAUAAAGAAACUUCAUAAGCAGACUUUGGUGUUGAAACAUUCUUAUGGUACAGUUGACAAGAACCACAAACACUCUGUUCUUGAUUCCUUAAUAAAUGGUACUUACCUUUUUAGUGAAGUUGUGCUGCAAUCAUUUUUUAUCAAAUUUCUAUUGUAUUGCUUGAAGUUGUUAAUUUUCCGUUUGCUGAUAUCAAUAACAAUACACUUACAAUAACUCUGAUGAGAUCCUCUCCAUGUGAGUGCUUGCAUGGUGAGAACUUAUAAGCUUUAAUAAAGCAACAACAUUGAGAAAUAACAGUAGAAAACUAGAGAAAGUGUAAUUAUGCAACCAGAUAGAAAAACUUGAUAGCCAAUUUAUCUUUGUGUUGCUUCUUUUUAUUUUAUUUUAUUUUAUUUAUUUAUUUUUUUAUACAUUUGAUCACUGUAAUUCUUUAAUUGACUGAUCAUAUAGAAUUGCAUGCAUAAAUUGUACUCAAAAUAGUAUAUGCCUGACAAGCUUGUUUGGGGCUCCCCAUUUUGAUGAUGCCCUAUAAUUAACAUUAAAAUCUAAAAUGGGCGUCCUAUAUGUAAAUGUGGAUUUCUUCAUCUGUAGAAACACGUUUCAGUAUUUUGCAAUCCUUCAUUUUUCAGGUGGCUAGGUGUGAGACAAACUCCGUGUCCAACAACUUAAAUAUUAGUAG